GGAAGCUCUGUCUCUUACACUUCUCUCAACGAGAAAAGCAGCAAGCAACCUUAAUCCUUAAGCUUUACCGAACUCCAAAAUCCUCCAUCCAUUCAAUUUCUACCCUACUUUUUGGAUUUUCGUGAUCUUCUCCAAUUGCUCUGGAGCACAAUCAUAAAGUUUAUCUAGGUUGUUAAAAUUGUCCCCUACAAUGCUAGGGUAACUCUGCUUUCUCUUGGCAAUGGAGCCCCUGAUGUGUUUUCCAGUCUUGUUUUGUCUAUGGGUGGCGGGACGGGCGAAAUUGGUCUUAAUAUAGUUUUGGGCGGUGCUUCCUUUGUGUCGUGUGCUGUGGUUGGAAUCUUAAGCAUUUCAAUGCGCAAAAGGCGCAUUCGAGUUCACAAAUCGGACUUUGUGAGAGAUAUUUGCUUCUACCUUCUGGUCAUGUAUGUUCGGGUGUUAUCUUGAUUCACAAGGAAAGCUUGCAAUCUAUAUUAUCGGUUUGAUUUUUGGAAUCAUUUUUGGGAUUGUUGCUUUCUUCUGGCCGCAUUGCGGAGCUUGCUUGUCUGUCCACGUUGAGGAGUCUGCCUGUAUGUCCGCCUAACAGAGCCAGUCCGCAACUGCUUGUUUACAAACUCAUGUCGUAUACUGCCAUGAGUUUGCCGGGAGGUGUUGGAAAACAUUAGUAUUUAGGUUUACUUUAAUGUUUGGUUUUUUGGGCUUAGCCCAUUAGCAUUAGGGUUUUGGUUUCUUACAUUUUAGAGUUAGGGUUAGUUUAUUAUAUAUAACAUGCUUGUUAUUCAAUCAUGAAUAAGUUAGUCACAAUGUAGCUUCUUAGUGUUAUAUAGCCAUUUCGAUGUUUUUGUUUAUUUAAUAAUAUUUUUAUUAUUGUGUAGUCUUGUU